AACGACCAUACCAUGCUGAAUAUACCGGUUCUCGUUAGAUCACCGAAGUCAAGCAUCAUUGGGCGCGGUCAGUACUUGGGUGGGUUCCCACCUGGGAACACCGCGUGCCGUU
rnacentral:rRNA from 1 species